AGAGUUUGAUCCUGGCUCAGAACGAACGCUGGCGGCGCGUCUUAAGCAUGCAAGUCGAACGGUAAGGGAGAGCUUGCUCUCCCCUAGAGUGGCGGACUGGUGAGUAACGCGUGGGUGACCUGCCCUAAAGAUGGGGAUAGCUAGUAGAAAUAUUAGAUAAUACCGAAUGUGCUUGGCAGAAUAAAGUCUGUCAAGGAAAGGAGCUACGGCUCCGCUUUAGGAUGGGCCCGCGUCCCAUUAGCUAGUUGGUGAGGUAACGGCUCACCAAGGCAACGAUGGGUAUCCGGCCUGAGAGGGUGAACGGACACAUUGGGACUGAGAUACGGCCCAAACUCCUACGGGAGGCAGCAGCUAAGAAUCUUCCGCAAUGGACGAAAGUCUGACGGAGCGACGCCGUGUGAAUGAAGAAGGCCGAAAGGUUGUAAAAUUCUUUUGCAGAUGAAGAAUAAGGAUAAGAGGAAAUGCUUGUCCGAUGACGGUAGUUAUGCGAAUAAGCCCCGGCUAAUUACGUGCCAGCAGCCGCGGUAACACGUAAGGGGCGAGCGUUGUUCGGAAUUAUUGGGCGUAAAGGGCAUGUAGGCGGUUAUGUAAGCCUGAUGUGAAAUCCUGGGGCUUAACCCUAGAAUAGCAUUGGGUACUGUGUAACUUGAAUUACGGAAGGGAAACUGGAAUUCCAAGUGUAGGGGUGGAAUCUGUAGAUAUUUGGAAGAACACCGGUGGCGAAGGCGGGUUUCUGGCCGAUGAUUGACGCUGAUAUACGAAGGUGCGGGGAGCAAACAGGAUUAGAUACCCUGGUAGUCCGCACAGUAAACGAUGUACACUAGGUGUCGGGGCAAGAGCUUCGGUGCCGUAAGCAAACGCAUUAAGUGUACCGCCUGGGAAGUAUGCCCGCAAGGGUGAAACUCAAAGGAAUUGACGGGGG
rnacentral:rRNA from 1 species